AACUAUCCAGUGCUGGCUCUGCACUUAGGAUGUAUCAUGAUUUAAUAGUUAGUUAGUUUUUAUUUUCAUGUGCUAUGAAACGUGUGUGUUUCACUUUACAUGUUUGAACCUUAGGGGUGACACAGGACUUUGUAUUGCUAGAAAAACUUAAAGAAACAGAAUAAAACAUUUUCCCAUCGUAAAGAAAACUCCCUUAAAAUAUGGACAAUAACAAAUCUCUGUGUAAAAGAACAGUACCAAAAAAGAUGUGUCACAGUUUCUGGAUGAUCCCCACAGAAAGUACAAUUAGUAUUUAUGUCCCUUUUAAAUUUGACCAUGUAGUGACUGGCUGGAUAACAUUUAUGUAGAAUUUUAAAAGAGACUUCUUUCACCUUAUUUAUGUAGCCCUGUCUGCAAUUAUUCGGGCUUGCAGUAUAAAGAAAAAGUCUACUGUUAUAAAAAGUGGUUAAAAUAUAAAUAGUUGAUAAAAGGUUUAAAAAUCAAAUGCAAGUACAAAUGUAUUUCAUUUACAGUUAAGAGUCCAAUAAAUAAAAGGGUUUCAUGAUUUAGAGUUCAUUUUCUGUGCACACUAAAUAUGUUGGGGUGUAACCUAAGCUUAUUUACCCAUCUAAUGUCAGUUAUCUCAAUAUUGUAUUGUCAUUGGUUGUUGUGCUGACGAGCCAGUCAAUGUCACUCUUCUCUGUUAUGGGGGCGGGACGAGUGGUAACAGUUUGUGUGAAUCUGUGGGAGCGGACACAGAAGCUAAGUCCGAAGAGAGAGAUGUCGUAAGGCAAACGUGGUGUGGAUUUUGCAUCUAAGUGUAUCAUUGAGGUCGACUACCCGUGGUCCUGAUAUUACUUAUUUGUGAUCUGCAAGAGAAGCCGAGGGACGCUCUGAAAGGAGAGGGAGAGAGAGGUUUCUGCCCGGAUGGACCCUGCUAUUUCCUCGCCCCUGACUGUUUUCUUACCCCUGAAUGUCUUCACUACUGGUGAACUAACUGCUAACUGCCCGUUUCUGAUUGCCCCACUAACAAACUCAUUGGACUUGUGAGUACUAACUGGAACUAAAGUGCACGUAUUUUGUUUAUUGCUCAGUUUGAGUGAAGCGGCCAUCAGUUUUAGGCCUCACCGCACCCGAACUUCGAAUCAGGCCUGCAACAAGCACUGUGCUACCGGUGUAGUGUGGACAGGUUAAAGUGUGUGUGUGUUUGUGUGUGGGGGCCCACUGUUACAAAUUUAUUUAAAUUGAGUAAGUGUUGUAGUUUUAAUCAAAG
ensembl:lncRNA